GAGAGGGAGCAUUGAUCCAAAAAAAGAGGAGAACAAGCUAAAAGGAGAGGGGAGAUACCAAGAAGAGAAGAAAUAUAUUUUUCAAGAGAGAAAAAAUAGAGAGAGGGAGAAGCUCUUCUAUGAGAAAAAAAUAGAGAGAGGGAGAUAGAGGCUUCUUCGAGGAGGAAAAGCGGAAGAAACGAACUGAGGCGGGUUAAAGGAAGAAGAAAACUCCGCUCGGUGCUAUCGUUCUCCAUUUCCUUGUCAAAAGGUUCCAGAGAAAGGUCCCAUUCACUAAAAGGUUUGACAAGGAAAAGAAUCCUUUACCUCUUCAUUUCUAUUCUAAGGUAUAUAUCGCUAUCGGGGGUUCUACCAUCACUAGUCUCCUAUUCGAAGCUAAGUUGAAACCCUCAUGUGUCUGCCUGACAGAAAGCAUCCAAGAAAAUCUAACUCUCUAGUUGCCUUGCAUCAUUUCUAAUCUAUCCAUUCAAAGGGCACAAGAGGGAUUGUUUGUGGGUUUGCAUUGCCAAGUAGAUCCGGUUCUCUUCAACAAAGAAAAAAAGGUUUCAAACUUCCUGCCACUUGUGAGAUGGAAGAAGGGAUUGAAUAGGUAAGGUGCUUGCAAACAGAUUGAGGCAGGUUCUUGGCAGUAUCAUUUCUCCAUCUCAAGGGGCAUUUGUAGAUGGCAAGCAAAUAUUGGAUGGUUAUUUGAAAGUGGAUGAAUGCAUUGACUCAAGACUGAGGGCAGGGUAACAAGGUGUAAUGAUCAUGUAGAUAUGGGGAAACUUUAUGACCAUGUCCAAUGGGAAUUUGUGGAUUACAUGCUUCAUUAAAUGGCAUUUGGAAUCAAGUGGAGGAGGUGGACUCAAUCCUGUUUUCUCAACAGCUUUGUUUUCCAUUAUGGUGAAUGGGGGUUCCCAAAGGCUACUUUGUAAGGAGGAAAGGGUAUCCAGCAGAGAGAUCCCUUAUGGGGAUGAAAAUCAAAGCCGGUCCACAGGUGAGGUUCAUGCUUCCUAUGAGGUUAGCAUUCGGAAGGCCAUAACUAAACUCAACCAAUCUCGGAGAAACAUCUUGUUUAAGCUAAGAAAUGGAGAGCAAACUAAUUUAUGGAAAAUCCCAUUUUCUGUGGACUCAACCCCUCAAUGAACUCUUCCCUUCUCUAUUCCUACUGGUUAGAACAAGGAAGUAUCAAUUAGAGGUUAUGAUUAUUAGGAGAUCUUGGGAAAUCAGGUGUCAUGGACCAAUAGGUCAAAGGUGUAUUCUAGAAGAAGAAGGAAUCCAUGUCAGCUCCCAAGGAUAGCUAAUCAAGAAUCAAUUAAAUGUAACAAAUCAAGUAGCCAAGUUGGUUGGUAAGUGGUUGGGAGCAAGUUGAUGAUCGUUUGGAAUGGAAUGGAGAUACAGUUGCACGAGGUCACCAGAGACUUGCAAGAGAUUAGGCAUGUUGUAGCAGUCCCAAAUUGACCCCUCCAAGGCAAGAUAGCAUGUGGUGGACCUUGGAGACUUGGAGCAGAUUUUCAGUUCAAUCAUUUUUCAAAUCUUCAGCUCUUAGCUCAAUUAUCCCUACCCUUUGGUCAUGAAUAUGGAAAACUAAAUGGACAUUGAAGGUAGUAUUUUUCCUGUGGUCUGAAAUCCUUAGUAGAAUCCCAACAACUGUUCAUCUUAUAUAAAAGGGGUUGGCUUUUGAUAAUCAGUGUUCCUUAUGCCAAUCAGAAAUUGAUGUAUUGUGUUGCCCAGUCUCUGACUGUAUUUGGUGCCAUUUCAUACAACUUUUCAAGGUAUCAUGGUCAUGCCAA